CUGCAGCCAACUAAAUCUGCCAGAUCUCUUUCCUCACGGGUCCUGGUAUGCAAUGGCUAUGAACAGUGGCUUCAGUGGUAGUGAAGGUAGCUCAUUGCCUACAUGGGUUUCCCUAAGAAAUCUUAGAUACAGUU
ensembl:snoRNA SNORA70 Small nucleolar RNA SNORA70